UGAAAAAAACAAUAGAAACCAUUACAGAAUUUGUAAUGGUUUUAAUGGUUCUUAUUGGAAUUCUAAUGGUUUUAAUGGACACUGUAAUGGUCUCUGUGGGUCUCUAUUGGUAAUUUGCUUUCUUCUAUUGGUGGUGUAUUGUCUAUUGGAUACCAUUAAGGACCAAUAGAACACCUUUAGAAACUUCUAGUGGUAUCUACUGGACACCAGUAGAAACCAUUAUGACUCCAAUAAAUUAAGUGGUUUCUUUGGAAAACUGUAAUGGUCUUAGUGGGUAGGCUACUGCUGAAAAAAAAUGAACACACAAACAAUAGAAACCAUUACAAAAUUUGUAAUGGUUUUAAUGGUUAUAAUGGGAAUUAUGUUGCUUGUAAUGGUCACAGUAAUGGUCCCUGUGGGUCUCUAUUGGUAAAUUGCUUUCUUCUAUUGGUGGCAUGUAUUGUAUUGGAUUGCCACCAUACGUCAUUUGGAAAGGUUAUUUUUAAUUCAUUUAAUUUAUUUAUUUAUUUAUUUUUUUAAAUCAACUCGACUCGUCAUGGCCUUCAAAAUUGACUUGAAAGUUGGUCUUUGUUUUGUCUGUCGGAUUUGGUCCAAAUUUAGCCCAAAAAUAGAUGUGAAGUAACAGUGAAAUUCUGCGUGACUUCUACGUGCUGUAAUGUGCGUGCGCGCAGAACUGGAGCGGAGGACGUCACCAUGGAAACGAGGCGGCAGCCCAACCGUCAAGCAGCUGAUCGCUGACACUCAAUGUGGUUUCACUUUUUUUUUUAGAAAUGGUUUAGCGUCGUCAGAAAAAGUCCGUUAGCAUCUCAAAGAAGUGGCAGAAAAAAACAUCGAUGACACAGGAUAAGUUCCUGAUUUUAACAUUUCUGAAGGGAGCUGCUGACAGAGAGGAUGAAAACAUACACAUUUGGAUGUCCACGCUGUAGGAGCAUUACUAAAUAAUGCUUAUGUUCCUAGGUUCUUCCAUGCUGAUGGCUGUGCUCUAGUCAUUUUUAGACAUUAUGAACCAUGAAUAAGUUUAGCUCCAACCCCAGUUAAGCGGACCUGAGCAGCUGAUCAAGGAUCAGCAGAAACUCUGCAGAACAUUGGUCCUUCAGCCCAGGACUGGACACCAGUGUUAGUGUCUGUCUCAGAAGCUGAAGAAAAAAGGCCACACCUUAUAGGAAAUAAACGCCUCCUAAGUGUACGGAAAUACCUGGCUGAGGAGAUCAGUGACAUAAACCAGAUAAAACUGUCAAUGGUCUGAGACAGCUACAAGCCACAAAAACAGUUCAUAGUUCCUGCAUUUCUAUUAAUGCAUUAAUGAAUAACAAUAAUUAAAAUAAAAUGUAAUGUCAAGGUUUUGUGUUAAUUCCAGCUAUGUUGAGUAUUCUGUGAAUAAUUUUGAUUUUAGGUGCAUAUUCUUAAUUCUUUGCAAAACAACCUGAACUGUUUGCUAUUGAAAGGUUGGUAUGAAGUUUAAAUAAAUUAAAAAAUAAUAUUCUUG